GGCGGGGGAUCAGCGGCGAACGGGUGAGUAACGCGUGAGCAACCUGCCCCCGACACCGGGAUAGCGGUGGGAAACCGGGGUUAAUAUCGGAUGCUGUGCAACGGCGUAUGCUGUUGUAUGAAAGAUUGAGUUCGGUCGGGGAGGGGCUCGCGUCCCAUUAGCUUGUUGGCGGGGUAACGGCCCACCAAUGCUAAGAUGGGUAGCUGGUCUGAGAGGAUGGUCAGCCACACUGGGACUGAGACACGGCCCAGACUCCUGCGGGAGGCUGCAGUCGAGAAUAUUCGGCAAUGGGCGCAAGCCUGACCGAGUGAUGCCGCGUGGGGGAUGAAGGCCUUCGGGUUGUAAACCCCUGUCACCAGGGACGAAAUUUGACGGUACCUGGAGAGGAAGCACCGGCUAACUACGUGCCAGCAGCCGCGGUAACACGUAGGGUGCGAGCGUUAUCCGGAAUUACUGGGCGUAAAGGGUCCGUAGGGGGUCUGCCAAGUCUGGUGUGAAAGCCCGUGGCUCAACCACGGAAGUGCAUUGGAAACUGGUGGACUGGAGUGCACGAGGGGAAAGCGGAAUUCCCGGUGUAGCGGUGGAAUGCGUAGAUCUCGGGAAGAACACCUGCGGCGACAGCGGCUUUCUGGCGUGACAGUGACCCUGAGGGACGAAAGCGUGGGUAGCGAACGGGAUUAGAUACCC
rnacentral:rRNA from 1 species